CUACGGGGGGCUGCAGUGGGGAAUAUUGCACAAUGGAGGAAACUCUGAUGCAGCAACGCCGCGUGGAGGAUGACACUUUUCGGAGCGUAAACUCCUUUUAUAUAGGAAGAUAAUGACGGUACUAUAUGAAUAAGCACCGGCUAACUCCGUGCCAGCAGCCGCGGUAAUACGGAGGGUGCAAGCGUUACUCGGAAUCACUGGGCGUAAAGAGCGUGUAGGCGGGUUAAUAAGUCAGAAGUGAAAUCCUAUGGCUCAACCAUAGAACUGCUUUUGAAACUGUUAACCUAGAGUGUGGGAGAGGUAGAUGGAAUUUCUGGUGUAGGGGUAAAAUCCGUAGAGAUCAGAAGGAAUACCGAUUGCGAAGGCGAUCUACUGGAACAUAACUGACGCUGAGACGCGAAAGCGUGGGGAGCAAACAGGAUUAGAUACCCGUGUAGUC
rnacentral:rRNA from 1 species